UACGUAGGGGGCAAGCGUUGUCCGGAUUUAUUGGGCGUAAAGAGCGUGUAGGCGGCCAGGUAGGUCCGUUGUGAAAACUGGAGGCUUAACCUCCAGCUGUCGAUGGAAACCAUCUGGCUAGAGUCCGGAAGAGGAGAGUGGAAUUCCUGGUGUAGCGGUGAAAUGCGCAGAUAUCAGGAAGAACACCGGUGGCGAAGGCGGUUCUCUGGGCCUUACCUGACGCUGAGGAGCGAAAGCGUGGGGAGCGAACAGG
rnacentral:rRNA from 1 species